rnacentral:lncRNA from 1 species
GAGAAAACAGUAGGAGGAAAGAGCAGAGAGGAAGAGAGAGAGGCGGCGGCGGCUGCUGCGGUUUCUUGAGAGGAAAAAGUGAGAAGCUGAGGCUACUACAUCCAAGAACUCAGAAGUGUUAGUUAUCUGCCUGCUGAUGUGCUCAUGUGGACAAAGACAAGAGGAUCAAACUAUACUGUUAGAUGUUCAGCACAUUUGAAUCACUAAAGCUACUUGUGCCUGCCAUGAUAUGCCGUCUAUGAAGUGAUGCUGCUUAUGUAGUAAUGUCUCUCACUCCAACAGAGACCCCUCUCAUGGAGGAGCAACAAGCCAAGGGGCUCCGCAGGAAUGAUUCCAGCUCUCAGUGAUGCAAUCUGUCUGGGAACGAGAGGAAGACCAUCUGUUGACCCUCAGAAUCAACGUGCUUUCCUGAACCUCUUUCCCUGUAGUUAGUGCCCCUGCUCUGUUUUCUGCAUACCUUGCCAAGCCCCCCAAUUUCUAGGGUCUAGAAAGCCUCCACUUUAUGGAGUAUGAGAUUCUCCAUCAUUCCCCUGGGGCCUAGGCUUGUUCCUGCUCAGCCCCCACUGGACAAUGGCUUUCUGGAGGAGAGGCCGAGGAUGGGACUUGGGACUUAUCUAGAAUACAGUCCUCUAAAUUCAGGCUGAAGGGGGACCCCCAAGAUGUCCUUCCUUCCCAGGUCAAACUUGAACUCAAUUAAAAUGGUGUGUAUGA